CUGGGCGUAAAGGGAGCGUAGGUGGAUAUUUAAGUGGGAUGUGAAAUACCCGGGCUUAACCUGGGUGCUGCAUUCCAAACUGGAUAUCUAGAGUGCAGGAGAGGAAAGGAGAAUUCCUAGUGUAGCGGUGAAAUGCGUAGAGAUUAGGAAGAAUACCAGUGGCGAAGGCGCCUUUCUGGACUGUGACUGACACUGAGGCUCGAAAGCGUGGGGAGCAAACAGGAUUAGAUACCCCGGUAGUCCACGCCGUAAACGAUGAAUACUAGGUGUGGGGGUUGUCAUGACCUCCGUGCCGCCGCUAACGCAUUAAGUAUUCCGCCUGGGGAGUACGGUCGCAAGAUUAAAACUCAAAGGAAUUGACGGGGGCCCGCACAAGCAGCGGAGCAUGUGGUUUAAUUCGAAGCAACGCGAAGAACCUUACCUAGACUUGACAUCUCCUGAAUUACUCUGUAAUGGAGGAAGCCACUUCGGUGGCAGGAAGACAGGUGGUGCAUGGUUGUCGUCAGCUCGUGUCGUGAGAUGUUGGGUUAAGUCCCGCAACGAGCGCAACCCUUAUUGUUAGUUGCCAGCAUUCAGUUGGGCACUCUAAUGAGACUGCCGGUGAUAAACCGGAGGAAGGUGGGGAUGACGUCAAAUCAUCAUGCCCCUUAUGAGCUGGGCUACACACGUGCUACAAUGGACGGUACAACGGGUAGCGAGGGCGCGAGCCUUAGCAAAUCCUAAUAAGCCGUUCUCAGUUCGGAUUGUUCUCUGCAACUCGAGAGCAUGAAGCCGGAAUCGCUAGUAAUCGCGGAUCAGCACGCCACGGUGAUACGUUCCCGGGUCUUGCACACACCGCCCGU
rnacentral:rRNA from 1 species